rnacentral:tRNA from 1 species
GAGGGUAUAGCUCAGUGGUAGAGCACAUGCUUCACAUGCACAAGGCCCUGGGUUCAAUCCCCAGUACCUCCA